GACGAACGCUGGCGGCGUGCUUAACACAUGCAAGUCGAACGGUGAAGCGCCUUCCUUUUUGGUGGGUGUGGAUGAGUGGCGAACGGGUGAGUAACACGUGAGUAACCUGCCCCCUUCUUCUGGAUAACCGCAUGAAAGUGUGGCUAAUACGGGAUAUUCUGGGUCUGUCGCAUGAUGGGUCUGGGAAAGAUAUUGUUUCGGUGGGGGAUGGGCUCGCGGCCUAUCAGCUUGUUAGUGGGGUGAUGGCCUACCAAGGCGGUGACGGGUAGCCGGCCUGAGAGGGUGGACGGUCACAAUGGGACUGAGACACGGCCCAGACUCCUACGGGAGGCAGCAGUGGGGAAUAUUGCACAAUGGGCGCAAGCCUGAUGCAGCGACGCCGCGUGAGGGAUGGAGGCCUUCGGGUUGUGAACCUCUUUCGCCAGUGAAGCAGGCCUGCCUCGUUUGUGGGUGGGUUGACGGUAGCUGGAUAAGAAGCGCCGGCUAACUACGUG
rnacentral:rRNA from 1 species